GCGGAUGUAGUUUAGUGGCAGAACUUCAGCCUUCCAAGCUGACUGUGCGGGUUCGAUUCCCACCAUCCGCU
rnacentral:tRNA from 2 species